CCGCUCGGGCAAGCCCGACAGUCUGCCGGCGACGCGCCCCGUCCCCGUAUACCCCGUAAAGAUCGAAGGGGACG
rnacentral:tRNA from 1 species